CGCAACCAUGCUGGGCCCCGAUCUCAGCCUCCAGCUUCCAGCCUCCAGCACUAUGAGAAAUGCAUUUCUGUGGUUUGUGUCACCCAGUCUAUGGUAUUUUUGUUAUGGCAGCCCGAACAGACUACAAUAAGGAAAGUCCAAUGGGGCACUGCAGCAUGUGGCCAUGCAGAGGAGAGGCACACACUAUGGGAGUCCACCAUUCCUUGCCAUUCCAUUGGCAUAGAGUGUUCACAACACCGGUAGACGCCCCCAGCAUGGGAGUUCAGAGAGACUCAAAGUUGCACAAGGACUCAAAAUUUUACCACCCAAAUACUCCUUGUGAAAAAGUUUCUUGAAGAAGCCUGAAGCUUCUGAAACAAGUGGGAAACAAGCCUGAAACAAGUGGACAUAAACCAAGAGAAUGAUGUUGGAAUAAACAGAUCCAUCCAAAGGCCCAUUGAAGAGAAAGAAAAACCAGCAGGAGAACUUUCUGUGGCACACCUGGCUAAGUACA